UACGUAGGGUGCAAGCGUUAAUCGGAAUUACUGGGCGUAAAGCGUGCGCAGGCGGUGAUGUAAGACAGGUGUGAAAUCCCCGGGCUUAACCUGGGAACUGCAUUUGUGACUGCAUCGCUGGAGUGCGGCAGAGGGGGAUGGAAUUCCGCGUGUAGCAGUGAAAUGCGUAGAUAUGCGGCGGAACACCGAUGGCGAAGGCAAUCCCCUGGGCCUGCACUGACGCUCAUGCACGAAAGCGUGGGGAGCAAACAGG
rnacentral:rRNA from 1 species